UAAAUGAUACUACAAAAUUGAAUUCAUUAAUCGUUUGCUAUUCUUCUAAAAUACUUCUCAAUUUGAAAAUUCUAAUUAAUAAUUAUACAAGAGUUUAGUUCACUAAUAAUAUUAACGCCUGAACACAGUGAAAUAGAAAAAAAUAUUUACACCAUAAAAGAAGCUACCUAACUUUUCAUAUUAGUAAAAACAUGUUUGUAAUUCAUUUACUAUGACGUGUUUGAUUAGAUUAUAAAAAUAUAUAUAUAUACAUAAACGUAAUAUUGCAUGACUAUAAUAGUAUAAUAUAUUAUCAGUACAUAAUUAGAAUUAUAAACUAAAUGGUUGAUAAAUACAACUGGGAUGAAGUAUUUCAAAUUAUAGUUGAAAUUGUAAUUUGUUCAAAAACUAAAUAGGAACAUCACCGUGUCAUUUAAAAAACUUCAUAAUUUUUUUUGAUACAAAUCCAGCGAUAUGUUCAAUCACACUGUGUUUAUAGUCUAACCCUGGGGAAUAGUCAAGACACUUGAUACAUACAGAAUAUUAGUUGAAUCUUGUGGUAUACAAUUUGCUUCCUUUGAAACAGAUAAAUUAGUGUGUAUCAACAGUUUUUUGUAUGCCGCUUCAAAUUGUGCUGCUGAAGGGUUGUUAUUAAAACCACCUUUGGGCCUAAUUGCUGAGAAUAACAUUUCAAUGUGGUCCUGUGACAUCUUAUAAGUCUUUUAUAUUUGACUUUCCCAAGAAAAUUUCUGGUAUUUAAAAAAUCGAAAAUAUUAUUCAUAUAUUUACAAAAUUCUAUUGUUGGCCCACUAUUUUCAAAACCAGGAUACUUUUUUCCUUCACAGAAUGUUAGUGCAUCAGCUACACUUGCGCUAAAAGUAUGUGCGGCCAAGCUCACCCUCAUCUUCUCUUUGUGGUUCAUCAGUGGCAUAUUUACGGGGGGGGGAUAUGGGGGAUAGAUCCCCCUCCCCCCCUUGGUAUUUUUUUUACUAGUAAGUUUAAUAACAUUGGUAAGUGUACCCCCCACCACCGUCAAGGAAAUUAUGUUUUCCAACUUAUAUCCCCCCCCUGGACAAAAUCCUAAAUACGCCGCUGUGGUUCAUAACAUGUCUUCGUCUUAUUUUGGUUGCCAAAUGUAAGCCACCAUUCUCUUGAAGAUCAACUAAAUUUAUGAACAAUUUCCAAUUUAUUAAACCAUUGCUUUGAUUUUUCAGAACACGCCAGUCUCCUAAAGUGUUCCGGACUAAUUUAAGCAUAUGAGCAGCAUCUAAAUAAAUAUGAACAUUUUCUAGCGUUGAAGGGUGUUGAAAUGUUGGUUCUAAGUUACUACUUAAAUCUACGCCUAAGUAUUUUGCCAUGGAUAUAUUUGAUGCUGCUCCAUCAAAUGUCAGGGUUUUUAUAAUGACUCCAACAUCAUUUAAAUUUUGUAGGCAUGUUGUUACUAAAUUUGCUUUUUCUUGGGCAGUUAAACUAUUUGUCAAAAAAUAUCCAACAGGAACUUUCCAAUUAGAGUUUAGAGCUACUACUAAAAACACUAAUGCCUCUUUAGCCAUAGGUAAACUGUCAGAGUCUUCAGAUCCUUGACCAAAAUUUAUAUACCCUUGCAAUCGAGAGCCAUUAAAAUGAACAUCUUCUCUAAUACACAUUUCAUCUAUAAUUAGUCCACAAAUUAAUUUUUAAUUUUUUUCUUUCAUUUUCUUAACUUUAAUUUCAACCGCCUUCAAACAUUCAUGAGUAAAACCAGGAGUACCAUCAACAGUAGUAUACCACUUUCGUAUGGUGCUGGGAUGAGGCAAAGUUUUGUUGAAUGAAUCUCUAACAUAAUUAUAGGCUGCAGGUGAAUAAAAGUGAAGAGUCACUGCAAAUGUACGCGAUUCUGGUGUAAUUUUACUAUUGGAUGUCAUAUUAAGCUGUUUCAUAACAAGUUCACUCUCAACAACAGGCAAACUCUCCUAUUACAAUGAAAUUAAGACAAGUGAUUUUGAAACAUCAUAAUACGCAAUACACUGAUCUGAUGGUUGAGCAUGAGAAGUACUUGGUGUACUAAGUUUGUGAUCAUUUCCUUGUAUAUUUUCAUUAUAUGAAAAAUUAUCAUCAAUGACUUCAACCAUAUUAAGGG